CAUUAGAAAUGGCGGGGGAAGACUUGCUCUUCUCCCCAAAUCUCUUUUCUGUGCACUGUUUUUGUGUGCUGGGCUAGYUUCGGCUGGGYCAGCACGGGGUGGAGCUUGGAAACUGUUUGYUAUGAAUUUUCCCCCGGGAAAGUUCCGCUGGAAACUUUUGACAUCUCCGCCGAAAUUUAAUACUAAUACUGACUGACCAUGAAAAAGUUAAUAUAACAACUUUCAGCAAUGGAUCUCUCGGCUUUCGUAUCGAUGAAGAACGCAGCGAAUCGCGAUAUGUAGUGUGAUCUGCCUCUAGUGAAUCAUCAAAUCUUUGAACGCAUCUUGCACCCUUUGGUAUUCCAAAGGGUACGCCUGUUUCAGUAUCAUUAUAACCUUUCUCCCCAAGGCUUUUUGGCCAAGGAGGGAAAGAGCAUAACCGGUGGCCCAGCGGUCUCCCRUCAGGGGGAUUGUCUCGGCUGGAAUGACUGUUGCAAUGGYGGGCCAAAUGGUCUUCCGCACUUGAUAAAUGUACUUUUAUAAAGAGCGGGGCCGGUCURCCGAAAGUUGUAACUAAACCCUUUACCUUUGAU
rnacentral:rRNA from 1 species